UACGUAGGGGGCAAGCGUUGUCCGGAUUUAUUGGGCGUAAAGAGCGUGUAGGCGGCCAGGUAGGUCGGUUGUGAAAACUAGAGGCUCAACCUCUAGACGUCGACCGAAACCAUCUGGCUAGAGUCCGGAAGAGGAGAGUGGAAUUCCUGGUGUAGCGGUGGAAUGCGCAGAUAUCGAGAAGAACGCUCGCAGCGAAGGCGAAGCUCUGGGCAAUUUCUGACGCUGAUGCACGAAGGCUAGGGGAGCAAACGGG
rnacentral:rRNA from 1 species